AUACGUAGGGUGCAAGCGUUGUUCGGAAUCACUGGGCGUAAAGCGCGCGUAGGCGGCUUUGUAAGUCGGAUGUGAAAGCCCUGGGCUUAACCUGGGAAUGGCAUUCGUUACUGCAUAACUAGAGUAUGGUAGAGGGAAGUGGAAUUUCCGGUGUAGCGGUGAAAUGCGUAGAUAUCGGAAGGAACACCAGUGGCGAAGGCGACUUCCUGGACUAACAUUGACGCUGAGGUGCGAAAGCGUGGGGAGCAAACAGGAUUAGAAACCCGAGUAGUCC
rnacentral:rRNA from 1 species